rnacentral:lncRNA from 1 species
UAGGAACAACUAUAUUAAUCAUCGGAUUUGAUUGUAUGGACAUCGCGAACGGGAUUCCUUGGUCGUAAGUAAAUUCUCUUAUAUCAAGAUUCACACAUCUAAGGAUUACGAUAUGAAGUCAUGUAUUAAUUUUUUUCUCUCUCUAUCAUCUUGUUCGAUGUUGCUUUGUAUUUUUGUGUAAGGUUUUUAAAUUUUUUUGCACUUAUUUGAUUUUGCGAGGACCAACCCAAUUUACUAGCGGACUUAAUUGGAUAGACCACAUCAAUAGGAUGCCAAACUCUCCAAUAUAAUACCCAUCUCCAAAUAUUAAGGUAUGGAACAAUGUAUUAAAUGUGUUCAUGAUUAAUUUUAAUUAGGUACUUUUUAUUUAGGUACGAGAAUCAUUGCCUUUAUUCAUUUUUUUUUCUUGCUUAGGAACGACUAGAUUGACCAUCGGAUUUAAUUGAAUGGAUAGCGCAACGGGAUGCCUUGGUUGUAAGUAAAUUACUCUUGUAUCAAAAUCAACACAUCUAAGGGUUAC